rnacentral:rRNA from 1 species
UACGGAGGAUGCAAGCGUUAUCCGGAAUUAUUGGGCGUAAAGCGUCCGCAGGUGGCUAUGUAAGUCUGCUGUUAAAGAGUCUAGCUCAACUAGAUAAGAGCAGUGGAAACUACAUGGCUGGAGUGCGUUCGGGGCAGAGGGAAUUCCUGGUGUAGCGGUGAAAUGCGUAGAGAUCAGGAAGAACACCGGUGGCGAAGGCGCUCUGCUAGGCCGCAACUGACACUGAGGGACGAAAGCUAGGGGAGCGAAUGGG